GACGAACGCUGGCGGCGUGCUUAACACAUGCAAGUCGAACGGAAAGGCCCUGCUUUUAUGGGGUGCUCGAGUGGCGAACGGGUGAGUAACACGUGAGUAACCUGCCCUUGACUUUGGGAUAACUUCAGGAAACUGGGGCUAAUACCGGAUAGGAGCUCCUGCUGCAUGGUGGGAGUUGGAAAGUUUCGGCGGUUGGGGAUGGACUCGCGGCUUAUCAGCUUGUUGGUGGGGUAGUGGCUUACCAAGGCUUUGACGGGUAGCCGGCCUGAGAGGGUGACCGGCCACAUUGGGACUGAGAUACGGCCCAGACUCCUACGGGAGGCAGCAGUGGGGAAUAUUGCACAAUGGGCGGAAGCCUGAUGCAGCAACGCCGCGUGCGGGAUGACGGCCUUCGGGUUGUAAACCGCUUUCGCCUGUGACGAAGCGUGAGUGACGGUAAUGGGUAAAGAAGCACCGGCUAACUACGUG
rnacentral:rRNA from 1 species